rnacentral:rRNA from 1 species
CGCCUGGGGAGUACGGCCGCAAGGUUAAAACUCAAAUGAAUUGACGGGGGCCCGCACAAGCGGUGGAGCAUGUGGUUUAACUCGACGCAACGCGAAGAACCUUACCUGGCCUUGACAUCCAGAGAGCUUUCCAGAGAUGGAUUGGUGCCUUCGGGAACUCUGAGACAGGUGCUGCAUGGCCGUCGUCAGCUCGUGUCGUGAGAUGUUGGGUUAAGUCCCGUAACGAGCGCAACCCCUAUCCCUGGUUGCUAGCAGGUAAUGCUGAGAACUCCAGGGAGACUGCCGGUGACAAACCGGAGGAAGGUGGGGAUGACGUCAGGUCAUCAUGGCCCUUACGGCCAGGGCUACACACGUGCUACAAUGGCGCGUACAGAGGGCUGCCAACUCGCUAGAGUGAGCCAAUCCCUUAAAACGCGUCGUAGCCCGGAUCGGAGUCUGCAACUCGACUCCGUGAAGUCGGAAUCGCUAGUAAUCGCGAAUCAGAAUGUCGCGGUGAAUACGUUCCCGGGCCUUGUACACACCGCCCGUCACACCAUGGGAGUGGAUUGCACCAGAAGUAGUUAGUCUAACCUUCGGGAGGACGAUUACCACGGUGUGGUUCAUGACUGGGGUGAAGUCGUAACAAGGUAACCGUA